rnacentral:tRNA from 1 species
GUGACAUUAGCUCAGUCGGUAGAGCAUACGCCUUUUAAGCGUAGGGUCAUGGGUUCAAAUCCCAUAUGUCACA